ACCUGCAAUUUGAACUCUUUGUUUCUGGUUUUCCCUCACUUCAGGAGAAGAAGCAGAGGUCAGAGGAGCCCAACAGAACAAUCCAGGUCCUGUGCCUGAGAAGAAGAGGAUGGUGCCUGUGAGACUUGCAGACAUCGACUGGAGCGGCUGCACUGCUGUUUACGGCCGACCCUACAGGGACAGGGUGAUUCAUUUGCUUGCUCUGAGGGAUUACAAGGAGCCAGAGUUACUUGCUCGGCUGCAGAGAGAUGGAGUCAGGCCAAAGGACAAGAAUUCCCUUGGAAACAUCCUUCAGCAGGUAGCCAACCUGAAUGCAAAGGAGAAUUCCUUCAGUCUGAAGGAACAUCUAUUUCAAACCCUUCAGACUGAUUGGCCUGGCUACAGUAAAAUCGAAAGAAAGAGUUUGAAGUUAAUACUUUCUAGAAAAUCAGCUCCAUCUCAGAACCCCACCAGCAGCAGCCAAGCAACAUCUCCAAGGCCUUCUGAGACAGAUGCUCCAGCAAGACCUGCUCAGAAACGGCCUCGGGCUUCUGGCUUUAUCAGUCCUGUGAGGAGCAAGAAGCAGAGAACUGAGCAGUAGCCCUGUUACCUCCAGGCA